GGCAGGGACUCGCUGGACUGUGAGGAGAAGCAGUGUGUCCUCACCUUUCCACCUUCCUCUGGCCACAGCUUUAGCUGCUGAAUGAUAACAAGGCUGCCUGCCGAUCUCAUAAGAGGGCAUCUUGGGCAAGGCAAGGAGAAAGGGCUUUGGAGUCUUGAGUUCAAAUCCCGGCUCCCCCAGCUGCUGUGCAACCGUGAUGUAUGACAGCCUCUCUGGGCCUCAGUGUUUGUAUCUGCAAGAUGAGGCUCUGACAUAGACCUGAUUAGGUUAUGGUGAGGAUUACACAAUCCCUGCUUGAAAGGCACCUGGCUUGUUCUGAGUAAACCCUGUGACUCCCUUUAAUUCCUGGUGGGUGGCUUGCUUGUGCCCUCAUGAGGUUCAGCACUUGGCAGUACCCUGUCACCUGUUCAUCAUUAGCAAUGACGGACGCAAUGCUUCCUCUGUGACAAAGCCUCAUCCGACAGAGCAGGACUGCAGGGCUUCUCCAGGGCUUGGGGAGGGGGACAAGGGCAGUGCGCACAGUUCCUUUUUGUUUGCUGAUGCCACACUAGGCACGUGAAAGGGCUGGGUCAGAGAACCCAGCUUGGCCCACGCUGUCUCGGUUGGUGGCCGUCCUCACCUUCCUCACCCUUCAGAUCCCGUAGGGAGCCCCUGCGGUGGUGCCAUGGACGGGAAGCAUCCCACCGUGCUUGUGGCUCACCUCGAGGUCCAGGUGUCACUGCAUGGCCUGAAAAGGACUGUCUCCGAGCAGAACAAGCUCAUGACCAAGAACAAAGAGGACAUCUUGACCGUGUAAGUAAUGAUGACCGCUCUGUCCCCAGCUCAUAGGGACCCUGAGGACUCCAGGUUGCCUCCCUAUGUUGGCUCCUGAUUCAAGCAGAUGGCAGGGGGGUGUGUCCCAAGGAGCUGGGUGCUGAUGUCAGGAGCCCAGCACCCUUGUGGAAGCCAAGAACGACACUGAGGGGGCAAGAAGAGACUGUGAUGAGCUAAGUGAUGGUGUUGUCCCCAGCACGCAACAAGGGCUGGUGCGGCAACUGGCGACCUGAGAGGGAGGGCUGGUCCCAGCAGGGAGGUGUUCAUAGAAGGGAGAGAUUUUCGGUGAGGAGUGGCAGCACAGUCAUUCUCAACCCAGUGUGUCUUGGGAGAUGCCUAUGGGGUGGAAGUUGGAUGAUCAGGCUGUUAUUGGGUCAAUCUGAUUCAAGGAGAGGGAGGAGAGGUGACGUGGCCAGAAGGAGGGCAGGAGGGUGGACAGCAGAGAAUGCAGCCGGCCACCCGGGCCAUCCCCCUUGCCUCCACUCACUCAUCCUUUCCCACCCCUGGGCCGAGGAUGCGUCUCAUUAGGUAGUUUUCAGAUGGGUAAACUGAGGCAGGAGCCAUUCCAGGCCCAGAGAGGAGAGCCAGGAAGGCACGUGUUGUAAUCCCUGGGUUAGUUUUUCAUUCACACACAGGGGAACCUCUCCAGCCCUGCCACUCACUAGUUUUAAGAGGCUCAAGUGUUCUGAUUCCUGGCAGCAGCAACGUGGUAAUGCUUCUUUCUUGUUCCCUCCCUGAUCCCUUCUUCCCUCAUGCUUGAGGGCUUGGCCCCGCUUUUCUCCAUGUAUUUCCACCAGGGUGCCACACUGCCUGGAAUUGCAACCGCUGGGGCCUUGUCCAGUUUAUUAUCUCUCACCACAGGUGCAGGAAGGAGGCAGGGAGCAGGGCUGUGUCGCAGAGCAAGGCCAGGGCAUCCCACCCCACCAUGGCCGCCCAUCCCCAUGGCCUCCCUCAAGAUCAGGAAACUGCUCCACAUUGCAGUAACUAAGUGCACCAGGCGUGGCUGCUGGUGAGGGGUGGUCAGGCAGCACCUGUGGCCAGCCUAAAGGAAGGUCAAGGUUUGUGAAGGCAUCUGGUGCCUCCCCUGUUGAAAUUUCUUUUUCUCCUCCUUAUUAGUUGAAUCUUAAGAAUUGACAGUACCAUAAAACGUGAAACCUUUAUUUCUGCUUUUUAAAUGGAAAACCGGGCUGGGCACAGCGGCUCAUGCCUAUAAUCCCAGCACUUUGGGAGGCUGAGGUGGGCAGAUCGGCUGAGGUCAGGAGUUCAAGAUCAGCCUGGCCAACAUGGUGAAACCCCAUCUCUACUAAAAAUACAAAAAUUAGCCAGGCAUGGUGGCACAUGCCUGUAACCCCAGCUACUCAGGAGGCUGAGGCAGGAGAAUCGCUUAAACCCAGGAGGCGGAGGUUGCAGUGAGACGAGAUUGCGCCAUUGCACUCCAGCCUGGGUGGCAGAGUGAGACUCCACCUCAAAAAAAAGAAAAAAGGAAAACCAAGCAAAAGUCACUGUCAGGGGACCUCCCACCCACCAUACAGGGGAACACUCGGCAGAGCCAGAGGCCUGGGCCCAAGUCCUGCCACCAGCUGGCUGUGAAACUGUGGUACAGCACCUUGUGUCCUGCCACCAGCCGGCUGUGAAACUGGUACAGCACCUUGUCCUCAGGUCCUUGGUUUCCUCACUUGUAAAUUCAUGGUUCUCCAUGGCAUCUCUGGUCUUCAACAUUAUUUUGCAUAGAGUCUCAGAAGCUUUAGUGUGAGCGGAUGAUAUGGGCACGAAGCAAGGCACCCAGAAGUGGGGGCAACUACUCUGCUUUCUAAAAUGCAAGGGAACCGGAAAAUCCAGGAGCCGUGCCAAAUGAGAAGAGGAACAAAUGGAGGAACAUCCCAGUCAAGUGACAUUCCUAGUGACAUUCACCAGAACAGAGUCAAGCUUUGGAUCCCAUGUUCUGUGACUUCCUCUUCACCACGCUUCCUCCACACACGUAGCAGCUCAAGGGUUUCUGAUGAGUGGGAGGCUUGACUAGAAUUGAAUUCGAGACAAGCACAAAGAUCAUGAUGCAAAUGAAAGGGACAGAGGGGAGAGAAACAGAAAACAAGUGAGUCAAAUUUGGUCUAUGUUCCCUUUAUGAGCUGUAACGCACACCAUGAAGGUCUGCGGCUUGGCUAUUGAGUCAGUGAGAGCGUGAACCUACUAUUAGAAGAAAAACUCUGAAUACGUCUGAACGUCAGAAAGAACGAAGUUUGGACACAUUGUCUUUAAGAACUGUAACACUCACCCCAAGGGUUUAUGGAUUCAUUCUUGAAAUCAGUGAAACCAAAAGCUUUCCAAAGUUUAACACACAGGGAAAUGACUUACUGCAAAGAACCACUCUUCCCCACGAGACUUCGAGAAGACCCGCUGUCACGGACUGAGUUGUGUCCUCUUAAAAUUCAGAUGUUGGAGUCCAAACCCCCAGUAACUCAGAGUGUGAACGUAUUUGAAGAGGUCUUUAAAGAGGUGAUGAAGGGAGAGAGACCCCAUGAGCUCGUCAAGCUCCUUCUGUGACUGAUCAGAGAUCCCACCGUGAGUCCAGCUCCUGGUCCCAUGCUCUGGAUAUAUCGGUCCCUGGCAGCGUGCAACUCCUUAGCCAAAGACGUGGCAACUGCGGGUGAAGUAUCUCUGGGCAGGAAAUCAAUGCAGAAAUGCAACUGGGGAGAGGGGGCUUGGGGGCCAGUUCCAGGGAGAUUGGAACUGCUGUGUUCUCAUCAGCAGAAGUGGCCCCUGCCCACCCCCAUCCUAAUCCCUUCUCAUGUGGGAGAAGGUCUGUGAGCCCUCUCCCUACCAGGCAGGUUCUAUGGCAAUGUGGGCACAUACCCUGGGGCAGGGGCCGAGGGACUUAACUCACUUCAUGAGCGCCAAUGGAGGAGCGAAGGGAAUGCCUGAUGAAAACAACAUUCUACCAGUAUGCACUGUUUUCUAACCUACAGAGUGCCUCUGUGUUCACUGUCCCAUUUGAGAAUUCUAAGUAGAAUUCUGAACAGGCUGGAGCAGAUUGCCCACCCCAAGGGACAGAUGUUGGCUGGUACUGUUGGUAUUCAUGGAAGAUUCCUUCUGACACUCCCUCCUUCUUUGUAAUUGCCAUGAACUGGAGCACUGGGCCAAUAUAAAUCAUCCAAGGGUGAACACGCUGCACAUGGACGGCUCCUCUUUGUUUUUGAAGGGAUUCCAUCUCUAUUUUGCCAUGUGCUCCUUCACCCCACUCCCCACCCCCGUCUUUCAUUUCUUUCUCUGGAAAAGAUACUUCAACUCACAGGACUGCGAUGUUGAAACGGACACCCAAGAGCAUCACAGAUGGGCCAGGCCUGGACCUCUCGGGACAACAUUCCUCACGACUUUUAGAUAGAAGAGAUUAGAGAUUUGGGACUGGUGGCAACUGGUAACGUUUUCAGUGUUUGGUAAACAGCCAGGGUCCGGAGCUCUGGGAACAGCCUGAUUUAGCUCUUUGUUUAAGUUUUGUGUUAGAGGCUCCCAAGAAGCUGAUGCAGGGGAAAGAAAUUAACAACCAUGGCUCAUUCACAGCCAGGCAGCCAAAUGGACAGCUCUAUAAGACUCAAGCCGACAGCGGAGAGAGUGCAACCAAACAGCCUUGGCCCAGCUUUCAGAGGAGAACGUUAUUCACCCCAACUGCUCUGCAUCUGCCUGGAUGUCUGCCAAGAUCUCAGUCUUCUUUCCACCAAUGACCCCUCGCGCUGCUUCCAGAAGCCAAGAAAGUGGGCUUUGUCCUUGGGGAUUUAGGAGGCGGAGCGGCGCCCCCUUGAGGCCACAUGGUGGAGGCAGCGAUGAGACCUGGAGUCUAAAAUUCAGACUGAAUCACAGGAAGAAGCUAUUUACACAAGUCAAACAUGGUCCAAUCUUGGCAAUUUCAUAAGGUUCCAAUCCUUAAGGGAUCAAAACCUGGCCAACUGCUUCCACCGAGAGGUGUGCCUUUCAAUGCCAGGCUUGGAGUGUCCCUCUUUAUUUAAAAAGGAGAGGAUUCCACAGCAGAGCUUCUCAAACUCUUCCACCCAAAUCCCCUCACCACAGAGGGACAGGAGUCCUGGGCAUGUAGCCUAAAGCAGCCAGGAGAAAAAAACCUUGACCUUAAUUUUUUUAAUGAUUUCACAUGAAUCAGUGGAAUGUGUUUAUGAUAAAAUCAUCUCCUCCUGAAAUACAUGUGUAAAACUGCUGCCCCAGUUAAACGCACUUAGUCUAACCAAGCCCUAGGAUUGGCCUCUCCAGCAUGAGAAGCAUUUCCAGCACUCCAGCUCCCCAGCUCCCACUCUGGGAUCCCACCUCAGACCCUCCCACUUCCUUGCACUCUGGCCUCUCGCUCUUGACCCUGCUCCCGCCACGCUCUUUCCUCAGAGUCCAUCAGUCCUGUCUUGUCUUCACCUUGGUCUCUGCCAAGUGUGGGUCCAAGUCAUAUAUUUGGGCUGUGAUCACAGGAACCCCAAGCCCCAGACCUCCCAAAGCACCCUAUGGAGAGACCUUACCCUCCUGGACAGACCCUCUCCCCCCAGCUAGACCUCAUCCUCUGGGUAGACCCAUCUCCCCAACCAGAACUCACCCUCCUGAGUAAACCCCAUCCCCCUAGCUAGACUUCAUCCUCCUGGACAGAUCCCAUCCCCCCAGCUAGACCUCACCCUCUUGGGUAGAUGCAUCUCCCCAACCAGAACUCUCCUGGGUAGACCCCUUCUACCCAGCUAGACCUGAUCCUCUGGACAGACCCCAUCAUCCCAGCUAGACUUCUCCCUCCUGGACUGUCCCCAUCCCCCCUCCAGCCAGACCUCACCCCUCUGGGUAGACCCCAUCCCCCCAACUAGACCUCACCCUCCUGGAUGGACUCUACCCUCCUGGAGAUACCUUCCCCUCCUGGGUACAUCCCACGUGGCUACACACUCCUUCCCCUGUCAGCUUUCUCCCCCAGGGUUCUGGGCAGCAGAGUCUGUGAUAAAGGAUACUAAGUGAUUCCCCAAUACUUCCCGUUUCCAGCCUCCAGUGGGCUCUCCCUGGGGCUAACGGUUCUUUUUGCUAUUUCUCCAGGCUUUGCCUGAUGACAAGUAUACUCUGAGAGUGUCCUAAUGAUACAGAUUUUGGACCCUAUCCCAGUUCUACUGAAUCCAAGUCUCUGGGGGAGGAGUUGGGGCUCUGCAUCUGGACACCUUCCUGCAGGGUCCCUCCUGGGAGGCAAGCCCGGGGAGCACCGCUGAGGCUCGCCUCAGUGCCCAUCCUAGACCUUCAGCAGCUAGCAGAGGAUGUCCCCACCAUCCCUCAGCCCACACUCCCACUGUCGCCCCAGCCAGGCUUGGCACUGCCUCCUUUCUCAGAAGAUUAAGACCAUCUGCUGUUUCCCAAGUUUCCCACCCUCCACCCUAAAAAUUUCUCCGUUUCCCAGUCUUUCCUCGUCUCUCAGAAAAUAAACAUCUUCCCAGGCUGCCUCCCCAGUGGGUCUGCACUCCUUGCUGUCUUCCCAGCACCUGCCCUUCCAGCCCGCCCUCUGUGUGUCCAGUGUUUCCCUCACCAAAGGACUCGCUUUGUUUUUCAAAUUGGAGGUUUUGUCUUCUCCCUAAAAACCAAAACAUCUCCCUGAGAAGUAACUCCCUCAAGCUACUGAUACGGAAGGGGGGCGGGGAAGUGCUGGGAAGGGAAGGGUGUGGUCCCUGGCUAGGGCUCCACCCCCGGGCCUGUGCCCACAGACCUAGGUGAGGACAGGCAUUUCUGUUUUCGUGCUUAAAUGUUGGAUUUCCCAAGACUACCCUGGCCUACCACACCCUCAUUCUGUGCCUGUAAAAAAACCUGAGAGCUUAGCAGGCACGCACACAAGCCUCUGGACGUCAAGAGGAACACACCGGUGUAAGAGCAGACUGAUAGUGGCCCACGGCAGGCUGGCAGGCCAUCGACAGGCAGAACCACUCAGUGCAGCUGGAGGACAGCCUGGCCACGGAGCGGUCCGACUUCAGAGGGGAAAACCACCUCCCCACUCCGUCUCCCUUCUGGCUCCCCCAUCUGAGAGCUACUUCCACUCAAUAAAACCUUGCACUCAUUCUCCAAGCCCAUGUGUGAUCUGAUUCUUUUGGUGCACGGAGGCAAGAAACCUCAGGAUACAGAAAGCCUCUGUCCUUGGAAUAAGGCAGGAGGUCUAACAGCUGACUAGGGAUGGCUCAACUGAAACAGCAUCCUGUAACACAGGCCCAUUGGGACCUCAGGAGCUGUAAACAUUCACCCUUAGACAUUGCUGUGGGGUUGGAGCCCCACCACCUGCCCAUCUGCAUGCUCCCCCUACAGGUUUGAGCAGCGGGGCACAGAAGAAGCCAGCCACACCUCCAUCGCAAGCCCUGCCACGGGGAUAAGGGAACUUUUCCCGUUUUGCCACCAGCUCAAGCCCCGCCUUCCUGUCACUCCACACUCUUCAUCUCUGUGUAUGGGUGUGGUCUUCCUCAGUUCCUUCUCUGGCCUCACACAGUGCCCUGAAUAAUGCUUUGCAAGGCCUUUGCCAGGAGCCUAGGUGAAAGGCAGAAGAGGUGCCCCUGCAGCAUCGCAAGGUAGAGAUCGUGGUUACAAGAUGGGGACUAGACUCCCAGUUUGCCCUUGGACUGGGCAGCCCCUUGGAUUUUGUUUUCCCUGACGUUGCUGUUCUGAUCCAAGGCCUUGUGGCCUCGCUACAGACACCCAAGGCCAGGCCUAUCUUUGCAUGAAUAACUAAAGAAAGCCUAGAGGAUGAGUAAAAUGACCACACUGUAUGGCUUUGGAGGACUGGAAGUUACUGAGGACUAUGAGUGGGUUUUUUGCAUAGACUGCAGUAAAGGUCCUCAGAAAAGACCCUCAAGAGCUAUGGGGGGGUCUGGUCAAAUGCCACUUCUAGACUGGACUCCAAAACUGGUGCUGAUUAUUUUCACUCCUACCCCACCCACCAGCCUGAUAGGCGAUUCCUGAAGUAGCAGUGGGGCGCUCAGUGGUGCUCACCAGGCCCAGAGCUCAGUCCUUCCCCCAUUCUGCCUGAUGGGGCUUGUGUAACCAAGGAUGACAGAUGGGACAAUCCCUGUUGGUAAAGACUGAGUUGAUUCUGACCAGGACCAGAGAUAAAACCCAGCACCUUUAUCUUUCCCCUUUGUACCUUCUUCAGAAAGACCUUCUUCUGCAGCAGUUCUGGAACUGUGAUCUGUGAGGUGUGGUUGCAAGAAUUCUUUAUUUUUUUAUUUUAUUUUUUUCAGACAAAGUCUCACUCUGUCGCCCAGGCUGGAGUGCAAUGGUGCGAUCUCGGCCCACUGCAACCUCCGCCUCCCAGGUUCAAAUGAUUCUCCUGCCUCAGCCUCCUGAGUAGCUGGGAUUACAAGCAUGUGCCUCCACGUCCAGCUAAUUUUUGUAUUUUUAGCAGAGACGGGGUUUCAUCAUGUUGGUCAGGCUAGUCUCAAACUCUUGACCUCAUGAUACACCUGCCUUGGCCUCCUGAAGUGCUGGGAUUACAGGCGUAAGCCACCACGCCUGGCCUGGCAAGAAUUCUUUUAUAAAGAAUUCUAGGUCUAUUAAACCCAGAUUCUUCAACUAGAACAGGCACACAGGAAAAAGGUUCACUAAAAACCCUGUUCUCUUGCCUCAUUUUGGUGAUUUCCAGCUAGGCUGUUGGGAUAGGCAUAUGUAAGUGUCACUUCCAUCUUUUCAUAGGUAUCUCACAGAAUCUCUGACCAAUGGAGAGCUAAUCAAAGACAAGUUUAAUAGGUGAAG
rnacentral:lncRNA from 10 species